GACGAACGCUGGCGGCGUGCCUAAUACAUGCAAGUAGAACGCAGUUGCGAACGGGUGAGUAACGCGUAGGUAACUGCCUCAUAGCGGGGGAUAACUAUUGGGAACGAUAGCUAAUACCGCAUACUGUGAGAUGGACCUGCGUUGUAUUAGCUAGUUGGUGAGGUAAAGGCUCACCAAGGCGACGAUACAUAGCCGAGCUGAGAGGGUUGUCGGGAACACCGGGAAUUAGAACAGGCCCAGACUCCCACGGGGAGGAGGAGUAGGGAAAUUUUGGACAAUGACGGAAGUCCUACCGCGCAACGCCGGGGUAGUGAAGAAGGGUUUCGGGUCGUUAAGCUCCGUUGUUAGAGAAGCGGUACCUAACCAGAAAGCGACGGCUAACUACGUGCCAGCAGCCGCGGUAAUAC
rnacentral:rRNA from 1 species